UGGAGGUCGGGAUGUUUUUGCCCUUAGACUGGCCUGCGACGUGACUAACCGGACCAUGUGACCUUGGGAAGUUGACAGAGUCCUCUGAGCUUUUGUCAGUGAACUGAAGAUAAGAAAACACCCUCUUUGCCAAGUUAUUGUGAGGCUCUGUGAGGACCUGUGUGAAGUUCCUUACCCCCUGUUCCUGGCUUUCAAUUGCUGCUGUAUUUUACUGGACCGUCUCCAGAGCUGGGGCUCAGUUCCAGCUUCCCCACCUGUUGCCAGAUGUGGGAUGCAGAGGCAUUUGCAGCUGUUUCUAACACCUGGCUUCUUUGUCUAUCCCACAAAGAACCUUUGUCCACCUCUACCUUUCCCACAGGCCGGUGUACCAAGCAGCCUCUGCCUUAUCUUACAGGAUCCAGGGAGUCGCCCACUGAUGGUUUUUACCCAGGCCCGAAACAGCCGGCACCAGAGAGCCACCUGAACAGAAGCGCCUGCCAAAGCAAUUUUCCAAGUGCUCGAAAGGCGGGCUUUGCAGCUCCUGUGGUCAGCGCAGGAGGCCACCAGCGGGAUUUGAGGAUCAGCUCCACCUCGGACCAUGCAGGGCCAGAGCCUGCCCCUUCGUGUAGCCACCCUGCUGACGGGGCUGCUGGAAUGCCUCGGCUUUGCGGGCGUCCUCUUCGGCUGGGCUUCCCUGGUGUUUGUCUUCAAAACAGAGCAUUACUUUGAGGAGCUGUGUGAACCGAAUGCCAGGCUGAUGGGCAAUGCCACGGGGCUGGAUGAUCUGCCUUUCUCUCCUCCAAACUGCAAAGCCCAGGACGAGCGCUUCUCACUCAUCUUCACCCUGGCAUCCUUCAUGAACAACUUCAUGACGUUCCCCGCUGGCUACAUCUUUGACCGUUUCAAGACUACCGUGGCCCGCCUCAUAGCCAUAUUUCUCUACACCAGUGCCACGCUUACGAUAGCCUUCAUCUCUGCAGACUCAGCUGUGCUGCUCUUCCUGGCCAUGCCCAUGCUCACCGUAGGAGGAAUCCUGUUUCUGAUCACCAACCUGCAGAUCGGGAACCUAUUUGGCAAACACCGUUCAACCAUCAUCACCAUGUACAACGGAGCAUUUGACUCUUCCUCGGCAGUCUUCCUUAUCAUUAAGCUCCUUUAUGAACAGGGCAUCAGUCUCAGGGCCUCCUUCAUCUUCAUCUCUGUCUGCAGUGCCUGGCAUGUUGGGCGUACUUUCCUUCUGAUGCCCAGGGGACACAUCCCCUACCCACUGCCCCCCAACUACAGCUAUGGCCUGUGCUCUGGGGAUGGCCCCAGAGAGGAAGAGAAGAAAACGUCUGAGUCCCAAAAGCUGGAGCUUUCAGAGAAGUUCCUUUCACCCAAGGAAGAGAUCCCGAGACCAGGGCAGCAGCAGCAGGAAGCCCGCUCUUUCUGGAGCUACGCCUUCUCUCGGCGCUUCGCCUGGCACCUGGUGUGGCUGUCUGUGAUACAGCUGUGGCACUACCUCUUCAUUGGCACCCUCAACUCUCUGCUGAGCAACUUGGCCAGUGGGGACAGGGUGCUAGUCAGCACGUACACAAAUGCCUUUGCCAUCACUCAGUUCUUUGGAGUGCUGUGUGCCCCCUGGAAUGGGCUGCUCAUGGAUCGGCUGAAAUGCAAGUACCAGGAGGAAGCAAGAAGGACAGGUUCCUCGGCCUCGGCGGCGGCCCUGCGCUCAACAGUGCCUUCGCUGGUCCUGACGUCUGUGCUGUGCCUGGGCUUCGCCCUCUGCGCCUCCAUCCCUGUCCUCCCCCUGCAGUACGCCACCUUCACCCUGCAAGUGAUCAACCGCUCCUUCCUCUACGGGGGCAAUGCUGCCUUCCUCACCCUCGCGUACGUAGGUUCCCUUCAGAGCACUUUGGGAAGCUUUUUGGGCUAGUGAUGGCCUUGUCAGCUGUCGUGUCUCUGCUCCAGUUCCCAAUCUUCACCCUCAUCAAAGGUCCCCUCCAGAGUGACCCGUUCUACGUGAAUGUGAUUCUGGUGCUCGUCACUCUUCUGACGUUUGUCCACCCCUUCCUGGUGUACCGGGAGUGCUGUCAGAAAGAAAGCCCCCCUGGGAUUGCCUAGUUCAGAAGCCCUCCCUUUUCAGCCCCGAGGACGUGUCAUCUUCCUUCACCUUCGAGCACCCCGUGUCCAGAAAGACUUUGCCCACCCAGGCUACUUGUAUUAAGUAGCCAUUAUUUUUUCUUAGAACAAAAAGACAUAUUUAACUGUCCCCCAAGCCUUCUUAUCGGCAAGACAAGAAGCAAAGUCACGUGGAAGUUCUUAGUUUCAGGGUAGGAAGCGCAUGGCCCUGGCAGAUGCUUGGCCCGAGGUGGGGUGAUGUGAUGGGAGGGUGUGUCCCCUGCUUCUCCAGGCCUCUUUGUCCCUGAAGCCCCUGUGUGCCUGGGCCCUGUGCUGCUGGGUAAGUUUCCAGGUGAAGAGUGAGGUUGUCAUGGCCGCAUUGCCACCUGGCAUUCAGAAGUGGCGCCCAGGGCUUCCCUGGUGGCUCAGUGGUUGAGAGUCUGCCUGCCGAUGCAGGGGACACGGGUUCGUGCCCCGAUCCAGGAGGAUCCCACGUGCCGCGGAGCGGCUGGGCCCGUGAGCCAUGGCCGCUGAGCCUGCGUGUCUGGAGCCUGUGCUCCGCAAUGGGAGAGGCCACGAUAGUGAGAGGCCCCGUACUGCAAAAACCACCACCAACAACAAAAAAAACCAAAACAAAAACAAACCAACAGAAGUGGCGCCCAGCUCUCCGUCAGAGCCUCAGUCUUGUUAGGGAAUGAGCCUGGGGAGAAGGAGGGGCAGACCGGGUUGGGUGGGGGCCCUGGGCUGAGCCCCAGCUCUGCCGCUGAUGCCGAGUGACCUUGAGCAGACCCUUCUCCCCGCCGAGCAUCAGUUUUCCCACCUGUAGAAGGAGAGGGUCUUGGAGUCGGAGGUUCUUUCUGGAGUUCACGUUCUAGAAGGUUUUAAGAACAGUGACAAAGAGUCAGGCCACCCGAAGGGCCUUGGGAACCAGCUAGCCUGCUUGACCAAAGGAUUUCUGAUGAAGCCUUUUGGGGAUGUUUUCCUCUUCAGGAAGGGAGAUGAUUAUUUACUUUCGGUAUUAUAUAAAAGCGUCCUCUGGGGAAUAGUUUUAUAAUAUAUUGAAUUAUAUAUUAAAUUUUAUUUAAAAAAUAAAGCCUUUCUGCCUAAGGCAACAGCUGCUCCACCUCUGCAGGCUUUGGGGCUGUCGUGAUGUGCAUGCGUGAGUGCCGGCGUUUUCCUGUCCCAGCCCCAGCCUUGGGGAGCGGAUGCAGGGGUGGAGUGGAGGAAUCCUGAUGUGGCAGCCGGACCCAGAGGUGGGGCAGGAGCCCUCAGACUGCGAACUGGCCACCUGGUCCUGUGCCCUGGGCUUGAGGACCCCCAGCAAUCCCUUCCCUUGCCUUCUCUUUCUGUCUCCCCUGCCCCUACCCCUACUGCAAUGCUCCCCGCCCCCCGACCCCCCCGCAAACUAGAAGCACUAGAUGGAAUCAGAAGGUCUGGUGUGAGUUUCAGUUCUGCCUUUCAGCAGCCAAGCAAGUCCCUUAGCCACUCUCGGUCACAACGUCCUCACCUGCGUCCCUGAGGGCGAUUGUGAGAAUCUAAGGUAAUUUCUACUGCCUAGCAUGGGGUGAGAGCACUUGAGCAUUUGUUCCUUUGUUUACUGAUGACUGGAGAGGAGGUAGGUAGCAAAGGGGGAUAGGUGAGGGACCGGGUGGGCGAGACGGGAGAAUCUGGAACACACCAGGUGUUUUAUUUGUUUUAUUCCUUUUAGCCAGGAGAGGACUUGGGGGGAGGGGCCGGCAGGCGGAUUCAUUCAUUCAUUCAAUAAAUGUUUUUUGAGCUGCUGCACAGGCAUAGGACAAAGCCUAGAGUCCAGCCUGGCGAUCCAGGCGGUCAGCAAUGUGAUGCCAACCUCUCCCCUGCCCUCUUCACCUCCCACCUCCAGGGACACAGAGCUCAUCCCUGUGGACCCAGGUUUCUGGUUUAGGAUCUGUGAGCACACCAGUUCUGCACUGGGGGCUCACCCUGUCUGCCAGGGAAAUCUGCCUGGUCCACUGGGGUCCUGCUCAAAAUGUCAUCUCCUGUAAAAACCUUUCCUUGGGCUCUCCAGCAGCUCUGAGUCCCUAGGCCUUGGUCACACCCUUCCUGGAGACUGGCCCCUGCCAUGACCACCUCUCCUCCCUUCAACAGGGAGCUCCAGGAAGCAGCAUCUGGGUCUCACUAGGCUCAGGGACUAGUGCCUGGUUGCCAUGCAUGUGGUACCAGUUAGGGCUUGUUGGAAGAAUGAUCACUGAAUGAGUGGAUUCUUUCUCCUUCGGGCUUCAGAACAAGAACUGGAAGGAGAGAGCAUAGCACACGGGGUGGGGUGGGGCAGUAUGAAUCGGGAGCCGGGCCAACCCUUUUGGCAUCCCAGCUCUCACCAGUGUGACCUUGGAUGGAACACUUCUCCUCUACAUCUCAGUUAAUUUAUCAGUGUGAUUGGAGAGAUAGACCUGCCUCCCUGGACUAGAUUAGAAAUUAGGUCAAGUGCCUAGCACAUGGUAGGUACUUAACAGAUCAAAGCUAUCAUUACAGUUAAUAUAUUAAAUUCAAAAGGAUGCCUAAUACCAUGGAUAAAUAACAUGUGGUAUGUCCAUACGAUGGAAUGUUAUUUGGCGAUACAAAGGAAUGAGGUAUUGAUACAUGCUACCAUAUGCACGAACCUUGAAAACAUUAUGCUAAGUGAAAGAAGCCAGUCAGAAGAGACAGAAUAUAGUAGGAUUCCAUUCAGAUAGAAAAUAGGCAAAUCUAUAGAGGCAGAAAGUGGAUUAGCUAUUGCGUAGGGCUGCGGGGAAGAUUAGUGACUGCUAACAGUAAGGGGUUUCUUUCCAGGAUGAUAAAAAUCUUCCAAACUUGAUAAUGUGAUGGUUGUACAACUCUGAAUAUACUAAAAACCACUGAGUCGUACGCUUUAAAUGGAUGAGUUGUGUGGUAUAUGGAUUAUAUCUGAACAAAGCUGUUAUUUUUAAAAAAAGCCUGGAUUCCUCAGGAAGUGCAGAGAACAGCUGUAUCCAGAGAGAGUCAAGGAUGAUUUCUGGGGAAGAUAGGUGCGUGAGAGAAGCAGCCCAUGUGUACAGCCCUCAUUUCUGUCCCAAGAGCCUCCCUCCUGUAACCUCUUCCUCAAAUGGAAUGAACCACUCUUUCAAACAAGGAAGCAAGCAACCCAGGGGUUUCACAACUUCCGAUUUCACUCAGCAACAGGCUCCCAGUGCAACCCUCUGCUACCAACCUCAGCAGAGAGGGACUCGGGCAAAUAUGCCCCUGCUGCAGGCAGUGCCGGGCGGCGUCUUCCCUGGGGCAGGGGACAGUCCACCAGGAGGAGGAGGGCGCCUGCUCUUCAAAGGACGGCGACAGCGUGAAUCAGAAACAUUGUGUGACCAUCUCCUUUAAUCAGCCUCAAUUUACAGGGGAUCAAAGUUAGGCUCUGCGUGUAAGUUACAUCCAAGAUCAUCCAACUGUCGCACUGUGGAGCUGGUAUUUAAACCCACGUCUGUCUGACUCCUAAGGUCACCUUCACAUUCAUUUUAGACAUUACCUUUUGCCUCUUGUGUUUUUGGCCGCGCCGUGUGGACCCUCGGCAGGGCAGUGAAAGUCCUAAACGCUGGACCGCCACGGAAUUCCUGACGUUACCUUUUCUUUACAUCCAUUCUUAUGUAAGAAAUAAGUAGUUGUUGUAAAGCAGAUCAGAAAAUAAAGAACUGCGUGAAAAAGAAAUACCGCUGUUAAUUGCAGCGCUCUGAGAUACCAUCGUGGCUAACAACUGUGUCCUCCCAGUGGUGCAACUGUGUGUGUGGUGACGGAAACCAUCGCGUAGGCUCUUCUUUACGUCAUCAAAUAGUUGUCAAAAACGUGACUGUGGGGCUUCCCUGGUGGUACAGUGGUUAAGAACCUGCCUGCCAAUGCAGGGGACAUGGGUUCGAGCCCUGGUCCGGGAAGAUCCCACAUGCUGCGGAGCAACAAACCCAUGAGCCACAACUACUGAGCCUGCAUGCCACAGCUACUGAAGCCCGCACGCCUAGAGCCAUGCUCUGCAACAAGAGAAGCCACUGCAAUAAGAAGCCCGCACACUGCAAUGAAGAGUAGCCCCUGCUCGCCACAACUAGAGAAAGCCCGCGCGCAAGACCCAACACAGCCAAAAAUAAAUAAAUAAAAAUU